UAAUCGCGAAUCAGCAUGUCGCGGUGAAUACGUUCCCGGGCCUUGUACACACCGCCCGUCACACCAUGAGAGUUGGCAAUACCCAACGUACGUGAUCUAACCCGCAAGGGAGGAAGCGUCCUAAGGUAGGGUCAGCGAUUGGGGUGAAGUCGUAACAAGGUAUC
rnacentral:rRNA from 1 species